rnacentral:piRNA from 1 species
UUCCCUGACAAAGGACGAUGAUGUGAGGA